rnacentral:rRNA from 1 species
CCUACGGGGGGCAGCAGUAAGGAAUAUUGGUCAAUGGACGAGACUCUGAACCAGCAAAGUAGCGUGAAGGAUGACUGCCCUCUGGGUGGUAAACUUCUUUUAUAUGGGAGUAAAAUGUUCCACGUGUGGGAUUUUGUAUGUCCCAUAUGAAUACGGAUCGGCUAACUCCGUGCCAGCAGCCGCGGUAAUACGGAGGGUCCGAGCGUUAUCCGGAUUUAUUGGGGUUAAAGGGCGCGUAGGUGGAUUGUUAAGUCAGUUGUGAAAGUUUGCGGCUCAACCGUAAAAUUGCAGUUGAAACUGGUAGUCUAGAGUACAGUAGAGGUGGGUGGAAUUCGUGGUGUAGCGGUGAAAUGCUUAGAGAUCACGAAGAAUUCUGAUUGUGAAGGCAGUUUACUGGA